GUGGUUGGAAAGUUUUUCGGUCAGGGAUGGGCUCGCGGCCUAUCAGCUUGUUGGUGGGGUGAUGGCCUACCAAGGCGACGACGGGUAGCCGGCCUGAGAGGGCGACCCACCACAUGGGACUGAGAAACGGCCCAGAUCCUACGAGAGCAUGGGAUAUGGCCAUGGCGAAGCUGAUGCAGCCACGCCGCGGGAGGGAUGAAGCUUCCGGUUGUAAACCUCUUCAGCAGGAGAGCGCAGUGACGGUACCUGCAGAGAGCGCCGCUACUACGUGCCAGCAGCCGCGGUAAUACGUAGGGCGCAAGCGUGUCCGGAAAUUUGGGCGUAAAGAGCUCGUAGGCGGUUUGUCGCGUCUGGUGUGAAAACUCGAGGCUCAACCUCGAGCUUGCAUCGGGUACGGGCAGACUAGAGUGCGGUAGGGGAGACUGGAAUUCCUGGUGUAGCGGUGGAAUGCGCAGAUAUCAGGAGGAACACCGAUGGCGAAGGCAGGUCUCUGGGCCGCAACUGACGCUGAGGAGCGAAAGCAUGGGGAGCGAACAGGAUUAGAUACCCUGGUAGUCCAUGCCGUAAACGUUGGGCACUAGGUGUGGGGCUCAUUCCACGAGUUCCGUGCCGCAGCAAACGCAUUAAGUGCCCCGCCUGGGGAGUACGGCCGCAAGGCUAAAACUCAAAGGAAUUGACGGGGGCCCGCACAAGCGGCGGAGCAUGCGGAUUAAUUCGAUGCAACGCGAAGAACCUUACCAAGGCUUGACAUGCACGAGAAGCCACCAGAGAUGGUGGUCUCUUUGGACACUCGUGCACAGGUGGUGCAUGGUUGUCGUCAGCUCGUGUCGUGAGAUGUUGGGUUAAGUCCCGCAACGAGCGCAACCCUCGUCCAUGUUGCCAGCCGGUAUGCCGGGACCCAUGGGAGACUGCCGGGGUCACUCGGAGAAGGUGGGAAUGACGUCAAACCAUCAUGCCCCAUAUGUCCUGCGACACACGCAUGCUACAAUGGCCGGUACAAAGGGCUGCCAUACACAAAGGUGGAGCGAAUCCCAAAAAGCCGGUCUCAGUUCGGAUUGGGGUCUGCAACUCGACCCCAUGAAGUCGGAGUCGCUAGUAAUCGCAGAUCAGCAACGCUGCGGUGAAUACGUUCCCGGGCCUUGUACACACCGCCCGUCAAGUCACGAAAGUCGGUAACACCCGAAGCCCAUGGCCCAACCGUUCGCGGGGGGAGUGGUCGAAGGUGGGACUGGCGAUGGACUAAGUCGUAUCAAGUUACGCUAGGUC
rnacentral:rRNA from 1 species